rnacentral:rRNA from 1 species
UGUAGACCAGCCGGAAUUGCAGCCCGUUAGACGGAUGAUUCAAGGAGGGCGCUUCUCCUGCCAGACCCGGCAGGCGUGGAGCCCCAAGUGACUUCCUAUGCAAAUGAAGCUACAUGAAUGGCUGGCAUACCCUAGUUCUGUAACCCUUGUAUAUGAGUACUCCUGUUUCCUCGGCAAGCUUGCUUGCCAAUGGGGACCUUAUCAAACCUUUUUAUGUUGUUGCAACCGUAACCAAACAAAUAAUCAAAACUUUCAACAACGGAUCUCUUGGUUCUGGCAUCGAUGAAGAACGCAGCGAAAUGCGAUAAGUAGUGUGAAUUGCAGAAUUCAGUGAAUCAUCGAAUCUUUGAACGCACAUUGCGCCCUGUGGUAUUCCGCAGGGCAUGCCUGUUCGAGCGUCAUUUAACCCCCUCAAGCUCUGCUUGGUGUUGGGCGUUUGUCCCGCCAUCCUGGUAUGGACUCGCCUCAAAAACAUUGGCAGCCACCUCCCUGGCUUCGAGCGCAGCACCUUUGCGCCCGGUACUUGGGGGUCGUGGCUCCCCAAAAGCACUCCUUUCGGUUGACCUCGGAUCAGGUAGGGAUACCCGCUGAACUUAAGCAUAUCAAUAAG